AAAGUCGUAACAAGGUCUCCGUAGGUGAACCUGCGGAGGGAUCAUUAACACGUGUCCACACGUUAUUAUACCCCAUAUCAUCAACCCUGCGUGAACCAGAAACAACUCCCUUCACAGGCGGACGAGCGAAUAAUCAUCUAGGGUGGAGUUCUACGUCAACGGCGAACAAGGCAUCGACCCUCGGUCCGGCUAGAACUAUGACUCGCUCUAGAGGCUCUUAGAGGCCUCAAUCCACUGGGAAGUGUCUUUGCGACCACCUGGCAGACUGCACCCGAAAGGUCACUGCAGCGUUCUGCCGAACCCCUUUUUUCACAAACAUUUUUUAACCCCUUUAACACAUCUAACUAACUGAACCAUUUCAUUUAAGCGCUGACUGGGCUUCGGUCCGCUCUGCUGCUUAUUGAAAGAUAUACGUAAUGCUGAACAACUCUUAGCAAUGGAUAUCUUGGUUCUC
rnacentral:misc_RNA from 1 species